rnacentral:misc_RNA from 1 species
AACUUUUAACAACGGAUCUCUUGGCUUUCGCAUCGAUGAAGAAUGCCGCGAAAGCGCGAAAUGUAAUGUGAAUUGCAGAAUUCAGUGAACCAUCGAAUCUUUGAACGCACCUUGCACCCCUUGGUAUUCCGAGGGGCAUGCCUGUUUGAGUAUCGUGAAGUCCCUCGACCCCCUCCCCACACUUUGCCCGGGGGGCGGCCGGACGUGGACGUUGCCCUUCUCUUCGAGAGGGGCUCGUCUCGAAAUGCAUCAGCCAGGUCCCAACUCGGUCCCCACAGACAACGGUGUGAUAAACUCGUAUUUGCUCGCGUUGGCAGUGGCAAAUGGGUCGGCUCACAGUCGUCUUCGGACAAGCGUAUUUCAAAUCCGUACCUCAAAUCAGGUAGGACUACCCGCUGAACUUAAGCAUAUCAAUAAGCGGAGGCU